rnacentral:rRNA from 1 species
CCUACGGGUGGCAGCAGUGGGGAAUAUUGCACAAUGGGGGAAACCCUGAUGCAGCGACGCCGCGUGAGUGAAGAAGUAUUUCGGUAUGGAAAGCUCUGUCAGCAGGGAAGAAAAUGACGGUACCUGACCAAGAAGCCCCGGCUAACUACGGGCCAGCAGCCGCGGUAAUACGGAGGGGGCAAGCGUUAUCCGGAUUUACUGGGUGUAAAGGGAGCGAAGACGGCAGGGCAAGUCUGGAGGGAAAGGCGGGGGCUCAACCCCCGGACUGCUCUUGAAACUGCCAGGCUGGCGUGCAGGCUAGGUAAGUUGACUUCCUCGUGUAGCGGUGACAUGCGUAGAUAUUAGGAGGAACCCCAGUGGCGAAGGCGGCUUACUGGACUGUACCUGACGUUGCGGCUCG